rnacentral:rRNA from 1 species
CUAGCGGCAGGCUUAACACAUGCAAGGUCGAGGGGCAGCAUAAUGAAGUAGCAAUACGGAAUUGAUGGCGACCGGCGCACGGGUGCGUAACGCGUAUGUAACCUACCUCUAACAGGGGGAUAACACUGAGAAAUUGGUACUAAUACCCCAUAACACUUGAUAGGGCAUCCUAUUGAGGUAAUUAAAUCUUCGGAGGUAUAAGAUGGGCAUGCGUAGCAUUAGCUAGAUGGUGCGGUAACGGCGUACCAUGGCGACGAUGCUUAGGGGUUCUGAGAGGAAGGUCCCCCACACUGGUACUGAGAUACGGACCAGACUCCUACGGGAGGCAGCAGUGAGGAAUAUUGGUCAAUGGUCGGAAGACUGAACCAGCCAUGCCGCGUGCAGGAAGAAUGUCUUAUGGAUUGUAAACUGCUUUUGUAUGGGAAUAAUAAUAGCUUUGCGAAGUUAGAUGCAUGUACCAUACGAAUAAGGAUCGGCUAACUCCGUG